rnacentral:miRNA from 1 species
UACGCACUCUGCUGGCAGCGCU